CAGGAUGAACGCUAGCGACAGGCCUAACACAUGCAAGUCAGGGGCAGCACAAGGAGCAAUCUGAGGUGGCGACCGGCGCACGGGUGAGUAACACGUAUGCAACCUGCCUGUAAGCGGGGAAUAACCCGUUGAAAGACGGACUAAUACCGCAUAAUACUAAAUUACUGCAUGGUAAUUUAUUUAAACAUUUAUGGCUUACAGAUGGGCAUGCGCAUGAUUAGCUAGUUGGAGAGGUAACGGCUCCCCAAGGCAACGAUCAUUAGGGGUUCUGAGAGGAAGGUCCCCCACACUGGUACUGAGACACGGACCAGACUCCUACGGGAGGCAGCAGUGAGGAAUAUUGGUCAAUGGACGAGAGUCUGAACCAGCCAAGUCGCGUGCAGGAAGAAUGUCCCUAUGGAUUGUAAACUGCUUUUGCAGGGGAAUAAAGUGCAUCACGUGUGAUGUUUUGUAUGUACUCUGCGAAUAAGGAUCGGCUAACUCCGUGCCAGCCGCGGC
rnacentral:rRNA from 1 species